rnacentral:other from 1 species
CAUGAGCUGUUCUGUUCGAUAGGUUAACUAUUCCUGGGGCCGAUACUUAUCUUCUAGGGGACUGUCCCUGCCAGGAUCGUGGUCUUGGUAUAUGGUGCCCACCUGCUUGUUGCGGGCCGCAGAAGAAAUAAAAACCACCGGCAGAUACGGCUCUUUG